rnacentral:rRNA from 1 species
GAUGAACGCUAGCGGCAGGCCUAACACAUGCAAGUCGAGGGGUAGAAGGAGCUUGCUCCUUUGAGACCGGCGCACGGGUGCGUAACGCGUAUGCAAUCUACCUUAUACAGGGGAAUAGCCCAGAGAAAUUUGGAUUAAUGCCCCAUGGUAUUAUUGAAUGGCAUCAUUUGAUAAUUAAAGUUCCAACGGUAUAAGAUGAGCAUGCGUCCCAUUAGUUAGUUGGUAAGGUAACGGCUUACCAAGACUAUGAUGGGUAGGGGUCCUGAGAGGGAGACUCCCCCACACUGGUACUGAGACACGGACCAGACUCCUACGGGAGGCAGCAGUGAGGAAUAUUGGUCAAUGGACGCAAGUCUGAACCAGCCAUGCCGCGUGCAGGAAGAAGCAUCUAUGGUGUGUAAACUGCUUUUANACAGGAAGAAACAACGCUACGUGUAGCGUCUUGACGGUACUGUAAGAAUAAGGACCGGCUAACUCCGUGCCAGCAGCC